rnacentral:rRNA from 1 species
CCCUUAGAUGUUCUGGGCCGCACGCGUGCUACACUGAUGCAUUCAACGAGUCUAAAACCUGGUCUGAUAGGGCUGGGUAAUCUUUUGAAAGUGCAUCGUGAUUGGGAUAGAUGAUUGCAAUUCUUCAUCUUCAACGAGGAAUGCCUAGUAAACGCAAGUCAUCAGCUUGCAUUGAUUACGUCCCUGCCCUUUGUACACACCGCCCGUCGCUCCUACCGAUUGAAUGAUCCGAUGAAUACCAUGGAUUGAGAGUACGAAUAGGUUCGCGUAUUUCUGCUGCUCGAGAAGUGGAGUAAAUCUUAUCAUUUAGAGGAAGGAGAAGUCGUAACA